CCCGACCCAAAGCUUCAUUACAAACUUGCAUAAGCCAUGCUCACGGGUUUCACUUCAUACAUCGCAUUUUUCCUAUUUUUGGACACUUUUGAUUUUCGAAAUAUUUUACCCAGCCUCACUAAAACAGCCAUAACUCUCGCGUUUUAAAACAUUUUUGAGCGAUUCUUGAGCCCACGCGAAGAUAACUUCAAGGGCUACAACUUUUGUCUCACGAC
rnacentral:lncRNA from 1 species